rnacentral:rRNA from 1 species
UACGGAGGGUGCAAGCGUUAUCCGGAAUUACUGGGUUUAAAGGGUGCGUAGGCGGCGUUAUAAGUCAGGCGUGAAAGUUUGCGGCUUAACCGUAAAAUUGCGUUUGAUACUGUAGUGCUAGAAUAAGGUUGAGGUUAGCGGAAUGUGACAUGUAGCGGUGAAAUGCAUAGAUAUGUCAUAGAACACCAAUUGCGAAGGCAGCUGGCUAGACCUUUAUUGACGCUGAGGCACGAAAGCGUGGGGAGCGAACAGG